rnacentral:sRNA from 1 species
CAAUAAACCUUAUUGAAGCGGUUAUCCUUUUUGUUGUACCCCACAAACACCCCUCACUAACCAUCACAAAAAGAUACUAGCGAAAAGAAGGACUGUCC